GGAUUUUAAUGAGUCACAUUUUUGUGCAAAAAUCUUAGUGGUUUUCUAUGGAUCUCCAUCACCUUGUGUACAGUACAGUUAAGCAUAAUCCACAAAGCGGUCUAGGUUGUGGCAGUGUUACAAAUGUCAGCACAGUAAAAUCUAGGUGAACAUUGUUAAGAAAUAUUGUUGUUUGUGAUACUGGGGGUUAAAACUCCUUAAAGGCAACUAUAUAUAGAUUUUAAAAGUCUGAAAAAAUGGCAGUUCUUAUCUAUUUUGUGUAUGUUUUCAUAUAGAGGAGGAGUUUUUUAUGUGCCAAUAACCAUCACUGUAGUGUUUUGUAAAUGGGUGUUAAUAGUGUUCCAGAGUUCUGUAUAUGAGAAUAUACUUUAGCCACAAUGACCUGUUAGUGUGAACCAGCAGCAUGUUUUUAACCUUCCUCACGCCUCUCACCAGAGGUGCUCACUCAGCUUCAGUAGAGCUCACUUACGCCAGGGGAAAUUUGACCAGCAUCAGGCCUCAAGAAUACAGAUUUCACCUAAAUCCCCACUUUUUCACAUUGUCCCUAGAUGGUUUGUUACAUGUGAAUGAUCUGGCACAUGUAAUUAUAACGCUUGAACUCCAGUUAUGCUCCUUGAUUCUGUUGAGAUACAGUUUGUCAAAAUUUGGUUUGGCCUUCCAUCACAUUUAUGUAAGUACAGGGCACACUGAUUAAUUAUGAAUAUUGUCCACCUAUUUCUAAAGGAAACAUUCAUUUCUGAAGUGUUAAAAUAAAGGCAAAUGUCUCUCACUGCCUUAAACAUUACACAGACUUUAGAGAGGACUGAAUGUAUGACCAUCAUCGUGACUUCUGCAGGAGAAACUUCCUGGGUCCUCCGCAGCUGUGAAACGAGUCGGUUUCGUGGUGCUGGGAGGCAGCGUUACGCCGCAGGCCCUGCCUUGGGCACGCCUGCCAUCUGUUUGAUUUUAAGUGUUCGAGCAGUCCCCAUGAAAUCGAUAGGAUUAUUCAUAUGCUUGAUACUCUCCAUGUAUUCAGUGUCCUGCUGGUCCAGGGCAUUGCUGGGAAGUGGCACAAGUCACGUCUCUGCUUUCCAUCAUGAAUCUCACACCCCUACAAAACCAUCAAUCAGUUUUAGUCUAUGUAGAAUAUUUUAGACAUUAUUAGAGACCAAAUGGAUAGUAACAAUGCCAUGGUGAAUAAGAACAUGCACAUGGUGCCAUCAGGCAUACUGUAAUCUCUAGGUGCGUGUUACGGUAUUCAGUACCAAACAGGUUUUGGCAAAACUAAUUGCUGGGUUGUCCAAAUUACUUCUUAACCAUGUCAAACAUGUGCCAUUUCCUUUUGCAGCCAGUCAAGCCUACAAUGUAUGAAAGUGGUGUACAUUUUCUGGAACUUAAGUGAUGUAAAAUUAUUCAGUUGACUUCUGAUUGCUUUAAUGAAGUUUGGUCUUUACAUAAAAAUAAAUAUCUUCAAAGAAUUGUCAGUGCCAGAAGUGUAAAUGAACAAAAUAAAAGGUGAGAUA
rnacentral:lncRNA from 1 species